AGCCACUGUGGUUUAGUGGUUAGAGUGUUGGACUAGGAACUGAAAGACUAGGGUUCAAAUCCCUACUCAGCCA